rnacentral:rRNA from 1 species
GUAUCUCUGUAGAGUCUGCAUAUCAAUAAGCGGAGGAAAAGAAACUAACUAGGAUUCCCUUAGUAACGGCGAGUGAAGCGGGAAGAGCUCAAAUUUGAAAUCUUCAAGGUUCUACCUUGACGAAUUGUAGUUUAUAGAAGUGUUUUCUGUUAGUGGAGUGGCAAAAGUUCUUUGGAAUAGGACAUCAUAGAGGGUGAGAAUCCCGUAUUUGACCAUUAUUUCCAGCUUUGUGAUACACUUUCAAAGAGUCGGAUUGUUUGGAAUGCAGUCCAAAAUGGGUGGUAAAUUUCAUCUAAAGCUAAAUAUUGGCGAGAGACCGAUAGCGAACAAGUACCGUGAGGGAAAGAUGAAAAGAACUUUGAAAAGAGAGUUAAACAGUACGUGAAAUUGUCAAAAGGGAAGCGUUUGACACCAGUGUUGUUUUCUCGAAAAUCAAUUAAAAAUGGUGGGAUGUUGUGUUGUAUUGACUUUAUCAGCUUUCUGCACUUUUUUCCUGUCUUUUUUAAUGCACUUUUCGUUUAACAAGUCAACAUCAAUUUCUUUUGUUGUAAAAGGGUCAUUGGAAGGUGGCUUCCUUUUCGGAGAAAGUGUUUAUAGCCUUUGGCCUCUGCAAUCGGAGAGAUUGAGGUCUGCAGCGUAGAUCCUUCGGGGUUAGAUACAUUUGUGCUAAGUUAUAGCCUUUCAUAGACAACUUGUUGACUAUGAUCAGUCAUGUAGCUUACUCGCUUAUGCUAUUUUACCUACGCUUAGGAUGUUGAGUAGCGACAUACGCAC